GCUUUUCGGGCGGAUUAAUUACAACAAAUAAGAUCAUGCUAUUGACAAUGUGUCUCUGUAAACGUUGCAACGUUUCAUCGCCAAAUUGGCACUGCAGGUCAUGAGACUACAGACUAAAUUAGGUUCAUGCCGGGCACAGUUCUGCCAACGCUGCCUACACGAAGGACUAAUCCACCGUGGCUAUACAGCGUUGGUGACAUUUAUGACAAAAAGGGGACCGCAGAAAGCAAAUUCGUGGAUGAUGAAAUAUCCGCUUACAGCAUCCUUACAGCGUACUACUGGAGCUACUGUAAAGAGGUUUUACAGAAAAACCAACAUUUUGUCCAGCGGUGAUCAGUUUGAAGUGACCCUAGAUCAGAGAAAACUAAAAACUCCAAAAGGGAAGGUGUUUGAAGUCAAUAAUAAACCUCUGGCUCUAGCUGUAGCCAUGGAAUGGGAUAGCCAAGUCGAUAUAAUUGACAGGUCUAACAUGCAUUUGACUGCUUUGGUCAGCACAUCACUGGAUAAUCCACAUAAUCAUACUAAAUUGGAUAUGGUCAACUAUAUAGUUAAUUAUUUAGAGACAGAUACUGUACUCUUUCAAACGAAUGAUUCCGGUGAUCUCUACAAUUUUCAAUUAAAGAAGUGGGACCCUGUAAUUCAAUGGUUUUGUGAUCGUUAUCAAGUUGAUGUCACCAAAACAUUGAGUAUAAAAGCACCACUUGUAUCUCCGCAAACAAAAGAAACAUUAGCCAGGCACUUGUUAUCCUACAAUUUUAAUGCAGUGCAAGGAUACACAUAUGCUGUUGAUACAUUGAAAUCUGUUAUUUUGGCACUGGCCACGGCUGAGAGAACUAUUUCAGUUGAAACAGCAGUUUCUUUGGCUCGUUUGGAAGAGGAAUACCAGGUCUCGUUUUGGGGGAAUGUCGAGUGGUCACACGAGCUUAACAAACAGGAUUUACAAUCGCGAUUGUCAGCUGCGAUGUUAUUCGUCCACUUGAAUUCAUCUUGGACCACAUCUAAACCAAAAAAUGAUGAGUUGAACAAUUUAUGAAUGAAGACAAAACCUAGAAAUCUACGCAAAACAAUAAUUGCUACAUAAAAUUAACAUCAAGAGUUACGACAAUGACUACAUUGAUGUUGGUUUAGAACAGUCUGGUCCUUCCCAAUCCUUCGUGCAGACGCAACUGUAAAUAAGAAUUUUACAAUGUCACUAAUAUACAUGGAAUGUAUAAAAUCAUAAAAGAUAAAAAAUACUUGUCAGAAUUCAA
rnacentral:misc_RNA from 1 species